UACAGAGGGUGCGAGCGUUAAUCGGAAUUACUGGGCGUAAAGCGCGCGUAGGCGGCUUUGCAAGUCGGGUGUGAAAUCCCCAGGCUUAACCUGGGAACUGCAUUCGAGACUGUAUUGCUAGAGUAUGGGAGAGGGAAGUGGAAUUUCCGGUGUAGCGGUGAAAUGCGUAGAUAUCGGAAGGAACAUCAGUGGCGAAAGCGACUUCCUGGACCAAUACUGACGCUCAUGUGCGAAAGCGUGGGGAGCAAACAGG
rnacentral:rRNA from 1 species